rnacentral:lncRNA from 1 species
CUCGGGGGACCCGGCGCGCGCGGGGGCUCCAGCUCCGCCCUGUUGGGGGCCAGAGCAGGAGGGAGGCCGCCCCAGCUUGUUCUGGGCCGCAGCCCUGCCGACCGCACGGGACAGGCGCCGCGUCCUCUCUGGGCCUCCAAGACGCAGACUAGAAGCCCAUAGCUGCUGGGAAGAUGGGCACCCCAGGUCUCCGCGCACGGCCUUCCCAGGGCCACGGUGAAACAUGGAUGCGACACUCAGGCACCUUCCCGGCCCCCGGCGAAAACGCAAAGCCUGAGCCCAUGAUGGGCUCGGAAGCUCUGCGGGAUUGAGUCAUCAGAGGAAUGCUGAUCUAGAAGUACAAUGGCUGGAAGACACCCGCAGAAACCGCGGGCACUGGAGAGCAAGUGCAGCUUUAAUCUCCAGGCGUGAUUUAGAUGGAAAGCAGCCUGAAGACCAGUUAAGAGAACCGCGAGCAGAGCGCGCUGGACUAGCACCAACAGACGUGAGUUCGAGACCGUCCUGCCCCUUAAUCCUGUGUGACCUUGGUCCAUUUUUUAAGUCUGUGAGCCUCGCAGUGUUCUCAUUCCUGAAAAGAGCCUGCCCCAUCUCCGGACUGCAGUGAGAACAAAAGGAGACUAUGAACAUGACUUUUUGCCACUUUUGAAGCCCCACACUGAGGAAAGAUUUUCCUAGCACUUGGGAGAUUUUCUUUAGCACCAGCUGCCAAGAAUGCUGGGAAGGAGACAGCCCCAUCCCAGAAGGAAGACACCUUAAAUCAGAACUUUAUUUUUCCUCCUAUGAAAAUACAAUCUAAUACUGGAGAAGUGUAAAAAUUAAGGAGUCAUUAGAAGCCAUUUGUUGUUGUUGUUGUUGUUAUUGUUUUGAGACAGGAUCUUACUCUGUCACCCAGGCUGGAGUGAGGUGGCACGAUCAUUGCUCACUGUAGCCUCCAACUCCUGGACUCAAACAAUCCUCCCUUCUCGGCCUCCCAAGUACCUGGGACGAGAGGUGCACUGGGCGUGGUAGCACACAUCUGUAGUCCCAGGUACUUUAGAAGCCGAGAAGGGAGGUCUCACUAUUUUGCCCAGGCUGGUCUCCAACUCCUGGGAUCAAGCCAUCCUCUUGCCUCGGCUUCCCAAAGUGUUGGGAUUAUAGGUGUGAGCCACCACUCCCAGCCUGUUGUUUUAACUUUCUAUCAAAGAAAUGGAUGGAGGGUGGACAGGGAUGCUGGGUGCUUUAGAUUAGACUUGAAAGAGUUAACAGCAUAGGUUACAGAAUCACACAUACCCGAAUUGGAAUCUCAUCUUGACCCUUUACUACCACUGUUUCGUUAUGUUAGUGACUUAACCUCUCUGUGCUUCAGUUUCUUCAUCUGUAAAAUGAAGAAAAUGGCACCAACCUGUGGGGUUGUUGAGAAGAUGAAAUGCAAUAGUGAAUGUAAAAGUGCCUGACAGGACCCAGCACGUGGUAAUACAUAAUAAAUGCUAGCUAGUUUUGGUUUCCAUCCUUCCUUCCUACCAAUUUUUAUUGUAAAAUAUUUUUAAACAUGCGGAAGAGUUGAAAGAAUCAUACAGUGAACACCCACGCAUGUUCCACCUAGCUUCUGCAUUAACAUUUUUACUCUAUUUGCUCUAUCACAUAUCUGUCCAUCUAGCUUUCUUUCCCUCUAUCCAUAUAUCAAUCCAUCUGUUCUGGUUACUACUGUUAUGUAACAAAUUCCUCAAAACUUCGUGACUUGAAAAAAACAGCCAUUUUUGUCAUGCUCAUGGAUUUCAUGAGUUAGAAAUUCAGACAGAUUGGCUUGUUG